rnacentral:rRNA from 1 species
GAGUUUGAACCUGGCUCAGGACGAACGCUGGCGGCGUGCCUAAUACAUGCAAGUCGAGCGAGCUUGCCUAGAUGAUUUUAGUGCUUGCACUAAAUGAAACUAGAUACAAGCGAGCGGCGGACGGGUGAGUAACACGUGGGUAACCUGCCCAAGAGACUGGGAUAACACCUGGAAACAGAUGCUAAUACCGGAUAACAACACUAGACGCAUGUCUAGAGUUUGAAAGAUGGUUCUGCUAUCACUCUUGGAUGGACCUGCGGUGCAUUAGCUAGUUGGUAAGGUAACGGCUUACCAAGGCAAUGAUGCAUAGCCGAGUUGAGAGACUGAUCGGCCACAUUGGGACCGAGACACGGCCCAAACUCCUACGGGAGGCAGCAGUAGGGAAUCUUCCACAAUGGACGAAAGUCUGAUGGAGCAACGCCGCGUGAGUGAAGAAGGGUUUCGGCUCGUAAAGCUCUGUUGGUAGUGAAGAAAGAUAGAGGUAGUAACUGGCCUUUAUUUGACGGUAAUUACUUAGAAAGUCACGGCUAACUACGUGCCAGCAGCCGCGGUAAUACGUAGGUGGCAAGCGUUGUCCGGAUUUAUUGGGCGUAAAGCGAGUGCAGGCGGUUCAAUAAGACUGAUGUGAAAGCCUUCGGCUCAACCGGAGAAUUGCAUCAGAAACUGUUGAACUUGAGUGCAGAAGAGGAGAGUGGAACUCCAUGUGUAGCGGUGGAAUGCGUAGAUAUAUGGAAGA